rnacentral:lncRNA from 1 species
CUCGAAGAUAUUGAGUACGCUUGGCCUUUAGUUCAGUAUUCUUGGCCAGCAUAGAAAGGACCUCGGAGUGAAUAACCUUCAACGUCGCUUUAAAAUCGGCAGAAAGAUUGAGCGAUGGAAGCGUCAAUGCUUGCUCCAACUUCGCACUCAAGUGCUCAAGUUCAUCCUUGUGCCUGGCAGCACUAGCCCUUCCAAUAUCNCUUGUGAGUAUGGAACCAUAUUGCCCGUAACUCAAAGAAGGGCGAGAAAAAUUGAACUUCACUGUAUACAAGAUGGAGAUGCAAUGGAUUGGAGAACAGAGAUCAAAGGGUUCCUUAAAGAAC